rnacentral:lncRNA from 1 species
AGCUCAUAGAUGUCUUCUGAAAUGUGGAAGAAAUACUUUCGUUUGUCAUAAAACCUCAGCAGGAGAUUGGAGUCUGGAAGAGGGAGGGGAGAAGAGGAGGACCUCAGGGAGAUUGUUUUGCUUAUUGGUGUUUAAUUAAAAACCAAACAACUUUUCCUAUUAACUUGAUGCUACUUAUUAAUUGAAAUGAGGAGACUGACUCUGGAUAUUGGGAAAAUUUAUGACCCUAGUAAUCACCAUUCCACUCUCUACUUCUAUGAGUUUGACUAAGAUUCCACAUGGCACAUACAGAGGAAAAGACAUGUGGGGACAUAAUGAGAGGACAGCCAUCUGCAAGCCAAGAAGAGAAUCCUCACCAGAAACCAACUUGACUGGAAUCUUGAUCUUGAACUUCUUGCUUCCAGAAUUAUGAGAAAAUAAAUUGUUGUUUAACCCACACAGUCUAUUGUACUUAGUUGUAGCAGUCUGAGAAGACUAAUACAUUGAUAAACUGGUCAGUUACAACAAUGAAUAUAUUAUUUAUACAUUAUAUAAAUGAUUAUAGUUUCUGUAUUAGCUUAGAUUUUGCAAAUUUGUCAAUAGCUUUGUCCAAGUUGAUUUUCUUUAUAUAUUCCUAUUUCAUAGACUAUAUUAGCUAGAUUUGUCAAUCUAUCUUACUCAUAAUGACUGAAGAACACUUUUAAAUUCAAUUUAAAAGGUUUUUGUCACAUAAAGCAACAAAUAUAAAACUAGAAAAAAUAUAAAUAUGAAUAUAAAUUUGAAGGAAAUUAAUAAAAAUCGUAUUGUACCAUAUAUUCCAGAAAUUUUAAACACUGAUGAAAACUUCAAGUGGUACCAAGGAAUGAGAGAAUUGAAGUAAUUCAAGUGUUAUAUUUCAUCUUUUCUAUCACUAGGUUGUCAUCAAUUAUUUCAAAUCUGUUUUUUUUUUUAUUGUAAUUAAACUUCUAAGUUCAGGGACACAUGUGAAGGUUUGUUAUAUGGGUAGACUUGUGUCAUAGGGUUUUGUUGUACAGAUUACUUCAUGAAUCCGUUAUUAAGUGCAGUACCCAUUAGUUAUUUUUUCUGAUCCUCUCCUUCCUUGCACCCUCCACCCUCUGAUAAGACCAACUGUCUGUUGUUCCCUCUAUGUGUCCAUAUGUACUCAUCAUUCAGCACCCACUUGUGAGAACAUACAAUAUUUGUUUUUCUGUUCCUGAAUUAGUUUGCUAAGGAUAAUGGCCUCCAGCUGCAUGAUGCUCCUGCAAGGGGCAUGAUCUUAUUCUUUCUUGUGGCUGCAUAGUAUUCCACGGUGUAUAUGUACCACAUUUUCUUUAUUCAAUCUGUCAUUGAUGGGAAUUUAGGUUGAUUC